rnacentral:rRNA from 1 species
UAAUACGUAGGGGGCGAGCGUUGUUCGGAAUUACUGGGCGUAAAGCGUGCGUAGGCGGUUGUGUAAGUCGCAGGUGAAAGCCCUGCUUCCAAGGUAGGAAUUGCCUGCGAUACUGCACAGCUAGAGGGCAAGAAGGGGAAGCGGAACUCUGGGAGUAGCGGUGAAAUGCGUAGAUACCCAGGGGAACGCCAGUAGCGAAGGCGGCUUCCUGGCUUGCUCCUGACGCUGAGGCACGAAAGCUAGGGGAGCGAUCGGGAUUAGAGACCCCGGUAGUCGUAGCCGUAAACGAUGGGUACUAGGUGUGGGGGGAGCAUUACCCUCCGUGCCGAAGCUAACGCGUUAAGUACCCCGCCUGGGGAGUACGGUCGCAAGGCUG